rnacentral:rRNA from 1 species
UAGCACAGUCUUAACGAUGGAUGUCUUGGUUCCUACAGCGAUGAAGGCCGCAGCGAAAUGCGAUACGCAAUGAAAAUUGCAGUGACUGUGAAUCAUCUGAACGCUGAAUGUAAACUACACCAAUUCUUCUUUGAAGAAUAAUGGUACUCCUUCAUAAAAA